AACUUCAAACAAUCAAACCUAUCUUUUUCUCGCCCCCGUCCGAUAAAAAUCCUUUUCACAAAUGGACAUUGUUUAGUCCUUUCUAAUGCGUACACAAACUAGCGCUUAAGUCUCUCAUGCGCGAGCAUACAAUUAAAUAUUUAAACUGCUAGAAUGCGACCAAACGAGAUCCCUUCUACUGCAAAAGAAACAAACACUAAGUCCCCCCAUCCGUGAGCAAACAAGUUAAUGUUUAAACUGUUACAAUGCGACCUAAAUAUUUGUCCUCUAAAAUCAAUCAAUCAACACUCUUUUGCUACCCCGAACUACGAAGCUUUGAGUUCCUCAUUGUACUCGAGGAUACGUAGGAGCAAGACUCACAAUUUUGUCAAACAUUAUAAUAAAAAUAUUUUUGCGACCCCUUUUAUUUUACACUUUCAAUAACUCGAAGAAAAUAAUUAACAUAAGCCAACAUUCAAUCGCGAAUUUAACUAAAAGGUUCACGUUGAGUACAACAGACGUGAGUGGUGCUAAUACCUUCCCCUUGUGUAAUCUACUCCCGAAUUCGAAUUUGUUUGUGACAGUCAUUUUCCUUUUUUUAAGGUUUUAUCAAUAUUUUCCUAUUCCUUCAUUAAAAUAAAUAAAGUUCAGUGGUGACUCUGUUCGAAUCAUUUUUUCUGUGACUUCGCGAAGGAUCAUAUUUUUUGAGAUGCGACACACCCAACCUCCAAACACUCAACUUUGCAACCAAUAGAUGCCACACACCCAAACAAAAUACCAAGAGUAUGACCCAUGACACCAAUAACCACAUGCUCCCACCACAUAUUACUAUAGCCUCAAUGAUUCAUUUGAUUCCAUAAUAUCCCACCAUAGCCCCCCACCAAUGAACACCCAAACAUCCCACCACCAAAGCAUCCAACCACAAUAUGACUUUGUUACACCACAAGAAUCAUUGCUUCGUUUCUAAAACGAUUUAAUGUCAUGAUUCAACCAACCAUAUCGUCCACUCAUAACCCAACCACAACGACCCAACUACGACAACAUAACCACCAAACUAAAUUACGGCAGUACCGUUGACGGUAACCCUCAACUAUUGAGAAGAAAUGAUGACAAAUAUGUCAAAUACUCCAGGACCCUCACAUCAACCACCUUUUCCUCAACCAACAUUCAAAGACCCUAAACACCUCAAAGAAAUCGUGAGAGACCUCGAAGACAGACUAAUGCACCAGGAUGUGGAACCUGAGGAUGUUUCAAUCGGGCGAAUCAUUUUAUGUAUUUGAAUUUUAUAAGGUAAUAUCAUGGAUUAUUUUUAAUUUUCUUCUUUAUUUCAAAUUUUUUAAAUUAUAAUUAAAAAAAGUUAAAAAAUAAAUAAAGGAGUAACCACAUGCAAUGACACAUGCUCCUAAUGGAUGCAUGCAUGCGCCACUUAAAGUGAUAUGUUUUCAAUGCUGUCACCAUCAUCAUCGGUGCCUUAGUGUAUAAGAAUAAUCUAUCUGUCAUUUCUCCUGACUAUUUUUUUUGAAAAAUAGUUAUUUUGAUAAAUAAUUUAAAAAUAUAAUUGUUUUAGUGUUUAAUUUAAAAAUAGUAGUUAUUUUAAAAAAAAUUCAAAAAUUGAUGUAAAUACGUGUGAUUAAAUUUUAUUGACUGAACAUAAAAAAAAUCUAUUUAUUGAAUUUAGCGAAUGAAUAUAAAGUUUAAUUGAAAUACACUGACAGUGUAAAAUGAUUUUACAUCGUCAGUUAAUAAUAGAGGUUGAAUAUUAAAAUAAAUUUAAUUUUUAUUUUAAAAAUCUAUAAAGUAAUACAAACAAGAAAAAUGAUGAUGAUGAAUUGAUAGAGUAAAACUUUAUAACUUAAAGACAAUAGUAAUUACUCUCAUGAAUAUUUCGUCCCAUAUAAAAAACGAUGAUAUUUGUCAUUUUUGUUAUUUUUCCCUCAACUCACAAACCGUUAAAAAAAUAAUAAAAUAAUUGAAAAGAGAAAUAAUCAUGAUAUAUUUAUAAAUUCAUUAGUUAAUUUGUAGCAUUUCUGAAAUUAUUAGAUCGAAGAAGCUCCUUCCGACAAAGAAAGGUUCGCAUCAUAUUCACAAAUUUCUACUCUUUUUCUUUCUUUUCGUUUUUCUCUCAUCCAGAUCUAUAAAUUAUCAUGAAUUUGAGAAAUCAUCGUUAAUAAAAAUCCUGCUAGUGAUUUUUAUAAUUUCAUAGGUUAUUCUCUUGGAACCCUAAAUUCUGGGUUGUAUAUAGGUUAUGGAAUUGAAAUUCCAGAUGAAUUUGAUAAAAUUGUUUAGUUUUUUUUUAUAGUUUUUUUUUAUUUUUUAUAAUUUUUUUUAGAUGCAAUUGAUUUCAUUUGUGUUAUUUUGGAGGAUAUGCUGUGUUGAAACCCUAUUUUAUCGGUUGUUUUAAGUAAUUAUUUUCAAUUUCUAUAUGUAUCUUAUUUUCUUAGGGUUCAUAGAUACAAAAACUAAUUAGUUAACAUGUUAAUCAUGAUUUUACCAUGGUUUUGCAGUUUGUGAAACAUGUUGGUUGUAAUAUUUGAAGCAUUGACACCUUUGAAAAAUGUGUGACCGUGACCGAAAUCGAUAGUGACGGUUGUAAUUACGUUUAAUUUAUUGGUAUUUUCAAAUUAUUACCGGUGUCAACGUGUUAGUGUCGGUGUUGUGUUUUCGGUGUCCAUGCCUCAUAGGUCCUAAUAUUGUAUAAUAGGAACAAAAGUUAAGUAGUUAACGUGCUUAAUGCGCCAAUCGUGAUUUUAUUUUUAUGGUUUUGAAAUUGCUAAAACAUGGUUGUUACUUGUUAUGAUACUGUAUAAUGUUUACCUUGCUUAUUUUUUCAUUAUUGCUUAAUGUAGAUAUCCUCGAUGGUUAAAACCUUAAAAUCCAGGAAAUUAUUGGCUUGUUAAGGUUGUUAGUGAAACACUUUUUCCAUAUUUGUUAAAUACUCCUGCAGGUCUAACUUACUAAUAUUCUUUAUAGAAAAAAGUGUGUGUGUACUAUGUAUCUAUGUGCAUAUGUAUAUGUGUAUGAUUAAUGAGAGAAACACACACUAAAUUUUUGGACUCAAAUGUUGUUGCAGAAAAUGGAAUAUUGCAUGCUUCUGAUUUUCUAUUUCUUUUCAUCUCCUGAUAUGAUAGGUUCUAAUUGGUCAAAAACAUGUCUCAUCGCCAAGGAGGUGAUGCUGAAUAUUUUGCGGAUGAAUAUGAAAUGGAUGAUGUAGAAGAGGAUAUCGAUAUAGAUGGUGAAUCUAUUAAUAGAGAGGGAGGUGACGUUGACUCCGACGUUGAUGAAUAUGAUUACUCGGUUCGUAAUAUGCCGUUUCCUAAAUUUUUACAUUUUUUACUGUUAUGGAUAUGUUGUACACGAUGAUGUUUUAUUGUACAAUAACCCAUUUUCCAUUUAUGGGGGCGUCGACUUACUCUCCUAGUUAAAUAAAUAAUUCAUCAAGCAAAUGUAAAUUAUUGUAUCUUUCUACGAGUAACAUUAUUGUUAUGAUGGCAGAGUAGUAAAGCGGUAGACACUACAGCUGCUCAAGCUAGAAGAGGACAAGACAUCCAGGGGAUUCCGUGGGAUAGCCUUAGCAUCACCAGAGAAAGGUAUCGGCAAACGAGGCUUGAGCAAUACAAGAAUUAUGAAAAUAUCCCCCAAUCAGGGGAAAGGUCAGGGAAGGUAACAAUUUGAUGCAUUUUCUCUUUGAUAUUUCAGAGAAAAAACUUCAUAUAUGUCACCGGCCAUAACUAUGGCCAAUAUAAACCAUAGUCACAGAAUUCGCCACAGUACACAGAACUGCGGAUUGGUCCUCGAGUACCUGUUCCCGGUAUUUCUUUUUUGCGAUUUGGUUCACGCAAUUUCAUGAGAAAUUUGCAGGAAUCCGUGUACCAGAGAGGCAAAACCAUCUCUGGUUUAAUUGAGCAUUAUAAUACUAAGUAAAAUAAAAACCGGCUAAAGAAACCGUUGUUUAAAUACUGCACUGGCAAUGGGAAAUACUCAUCGCAUUAAAAAAGGGAGAUAUCACUGGCCUUCACAUGCGCCGCACCUUGCUGUACACUGGAGCGUUGGUCUAUACACUGUUUAUAUUUAGUUUACCUCUAUGUUUUCCAAGCUUCCGAUGUGGGACUAUAGUGCUAUCUCCUAAUGUCGGACUACUCCUAUAGCCCUAUCUCUCUAUGUUUGACAAGCCACAUACUUGGGUGCAUAUCCUCUAUUGGUGACUAUUGGACUAUCCUUUUUAAGGUGACUUUUGUUGGAAUCUGAUUUUUUAAACAAAUGUUAAUUACUCUUCUUGAUAAUAGAUGCUUAGAUCAUAGAUACUCAAAUAAUUAUUUUGACAAUAGGGAAUUAGUUCCUAAAAUGAAAUUGCAUUUUUUUUAAUACUAAAAAAUGCUACCGGUCUAUUAUAUUAUAAAUCACACAACUAUAUAACAUCUUAGUGCUCAGUUUUUUAACAAUAUAAAUUGUUUUUUGACGAUUUUAAUGAUAUUAAUUUAAUUUGAAUUACAAAAGAUGUAAUCUACAUAAAUGGUAAACUAAAAAUAUUUCUAAAACUUCCAUUUUCUUGAAAAUGCGAACUAUCAAUUUUUCAUUACUAUUAAAAUGUAUUUAUGGAUAGUUUGAGAUUCUUUUGUUUUUAUCAUUUUUCGUGUUGUUUUUAAAUUAGAUAUUUUUAAUUCACAGUGUACCGAUUAGUAUAUUAAAACAUAUUACAAACCGAAAUAGUGCACUGACUAUGUAUACCAUGUACCUAAUACUUUGAGGGUUGUGUACCACAUACCCAAAACCGUAACACGUACUGCAGAAAAUUGUGAACCAGGCGACUAUGAUAUAAAUAACACCAUGCUUACCUGUUCAUUAUUGUCUAUUACAAACAGGAUUGUAACAGUACAGACAAAGGAUACUCAUUUUAUGAGUUCAGGAGAAAUUCAAGAUCAGUAAAAUCAACAAUUCUUCAUUUUCAGGUAAGCUGUAGCCUGUAUCUACUCUGGUUUUUAUAAUGGAUUAAGGAUGCUCUAGGACAUUUUACUGCACAAUGGCUCUGUUUAACUGUUUUUUAUAAAUUAAAAGUUAGAUCAGCUUAUUACAAUAUGAAAUAUAUUAAACCAAUGGUCCAAACUUUAAGUCAAGUCUGAAAAGUGUUGGUACUUCAAUGCACCGUGUAUUGAAAUUGAUAGCAAGAGUAAAGGGAGAAGGAAGAGACUCUACAUCACUCUAUACCGAACGGCCACAUGAUAAAAUGCUCAUAAUCAUUGAAUAGGUUCAAAAAAUUAAAAAUAUGCAGGUAUCCAAUACCUGCAAUAUUUAUCUGGUGGCCAGUUUAAAAUACUCAGUUGCUGGUUUGAAUCAGUAUGUGGUAAGCAACUAAAUUUGGUAGAGAGAGCUCUGAGGUUUUCACAGCUGGAACAUGUGAUUUAUUAUAUAUUAUGUCAAAUUUUGUAGUCUGUUCAUAGGAUGCGAAGCUUGAGCAGUACCUUGGAUGCAAUAGGCUUCGAAGAGAUGUGAUCUCAUGUGGUUUGACUGAUAUUCCCUCCUUUUUUUUAUACUUAUGCAGUUGAGGAAUUUGGUUUGGGCUACAUCAAAGCAUGAUGUAUACCUUAUGUCUCAGUUCUCAGUAACACAUUGGUCUUCUUUGACUUGCACAAGGUCUGAAGUACUCAAUGUUUCAGGACAUGUUGCACCAUCAGAGGUGAAUAGUCCUUUAAAUAAUGUUUUUAAUUGGAUAGCCCUCUAAACCAUGUUGCACCGUCAUGUAGCACAAGGUCUAAAGAAUGGUUUGACUUCUGAUUGUUCAUUGCAUUAAUUUUGAGAAAAUAAUUGUCAAUCAUGUUUGUAAUCUUCCAUGUUAUCAUUUUUCCUUGUCAGAAACAUCCUGGAAGUCUAUUGGAAGGAUUCACACACACUCAAGUUAGUACACUUGCAGUAAAAGAUAAUCUUCUAGUUGCUGGAGGAUUUCAGGGUGAACUUAUUUGCAAGGUAAAUGUUAAUUUGCUUGUUAUUGAGGAAUACGAUUUUUUUAAAUCUGUUGCGAAUAGAGCAGUAAGUAUAAUUUGUAAUCCUGGACAUCCACAUUCUGAUCAUUCCGUGAAACGUUUAAACAAAAUUUAAAGAAUGCAAUGCACUGCUUUCGUAAGUUCAUACGCAACAUGCACAAGCAGACAUGUGAUUUAUAUGUGGUGAUGAAUAACUUUUUUAGGUAACAUUGUAAAGACUUAAAUAUAUUUUUUGUCUAUGUAAAAGAGACUGUUUUGGAAAGAUCUGCCCAAUUUUCUCAUUUUGUGGCUUCCUAAAUAUCUCAGUAAUUUAGUGUUUUUCAAAUUUUACAGACCAUGUGGAACCUAAGAACAAUUAAUGAGCAUUGUUUUAAUAAUUGGUGGAGUACUAGAGUGUUGCAACUCCUCUCUCCUUCAUUUUCCAGCCCUUUUUUAAAUUUCUUUUCAAGGAAUACUUGAAUUAUCAUUUUCAUUCAUGUUAAUCCUAAUUGGGCAUUUGCAUAUGCAUUCAGUUUGGUUUGCAUUGCUAUUAGAUUCUGCAUGUUUUUUAGUUAUAUUUGCAGAUGCUGUAGACGUGUCCCUCGGAAUUUGUUUUUGUUAUUAGAACCAUCAGCUGAUAUACUUUCAUCACUUUCUUUGUUACUGAAAUGCAGCACCUAGACCGACCUGGUGUCAGCUUUUGCUCAAGGACUACUUAUGAUGAUAACGCUAUCACCAAUGCCAUUGAGAUUUAUGCUUCUCCUAGGUAUUUAGUUUUCUUUCUAAUUGUUUUGUUAUUUUAAGAAUGGUUAUAGGUACCUGUGUUUUAAUACCAUUGGUUCCUGCUUUUUAGUGGGGCAGUUCAUUUCACAGCAUCAAAUAAUGAUUGUGGAAUCAGAAACUUUGAUAUGGAGAAGUUUCAACUCUCUAAGCAUUUUCGUUUUCCCUGGCCAGUGAAUGUGAGUCUCUUAGAUUAUGUUCUAAUCUUUUAGUUUCCUACCUCUCUUAAGAUGAUAAGUGAAUACUUUAAUUUUGUUCUUCAGAAGUUUUAUUGCCAUUUCUUUUUGCAUUAAUGAGCAAUUUUUGCAUUAUGACACAUUUGCUCUAUGGAUGAGUCGAUUGAUUUCCCACCCUAAUUUGACUUAUAAAGUUUAUUCUCGAAGUUCAACAAUUAGAAGAAAUAAUGAACAAAUUCGAGUGUCAAUAUGGGCCUUCAGCGACUAGCUAGAAUUGUUGAUAUCUUUCUGUUCUUGUGACAUUCCUUUGCUUUCUAUUUAUGUUCUCAUCUUUGUCCGUUUUUUCCCAUGCUGCAGCAUACUUCUCUCAGUCCAGAUGGUAAGCUACUUCUGAUUGUUGGAGACAAUCCUGAAAGCAUGUUGGUGGACUCUCAAAAUGGAAAGGUAGUACACUACGCCCGUUUCGGUCAAACAACCAAACACUUCUUCAGUUAGUUGCAUCCAAAGAGUACUAGUACAUGAUUGCAAAUCUUGCUAAUCCGAAUUUCCUUAUUUUGCAGACUAUUGCUCCAUUAUCUGGGCACUUAGAUUUUUCAUUUGCAUCAUCAUGGAAUCCUGAUGGCGUGACCUUUGCUACUGGAAACCAGGACAAAACCUGUAGGAUUUGGGACAUGCGAAACUUAUCCAAGUCAGUGGCAGUGUUGAAGGGAAAUCUCGGAGCUAUCCGUUCAAUCCGACAUUCUUCUGACGGCAAGUAUAUGGCUAUAGCCGAGCCUGCAGAUUUUGUCCAUGUAUAUGAUGUGAAAAGUGGGUAUGAGAAAGAACAGGAAAUCGAUUUCUUCGGUGAGAUAUCCGGCAUAUCUUUCAGUCCAGACACCGAAUCCCUUUUCAUCGGGGUUUGGGAUCGUACAUAUGGCAGCCUUCUUGAAUAUGGCCGACGUCAUAAUUACUCAUACGCUGACCUAAUGAUUUAGUCGAAUAUAUUCAAGACGAGGGAUAAAGUAACAUAAUAGACAGUGCACUUGAUCGAACAGCUUGCUUUAUGUAUCCUUUUGGGGUAGGUUGUUAAUGUAUAAAUUGAGUGUCCUGCAAGUUACCUCAAAUUUGUAGUUAUAGUAGGGCGUGUUUGUGUUUAUAAUGGUGUGUGUGUGUGGAAAGUGAGGUAGUAGGAGGCUAGAAGAAGAUGAUGGUGCAAACAGAUCUUGCUGAGUAUCAUCAUCAUCACUAUGUAAUGCAGUAGUUUUCUGUCUUGGAAAAACUCACUAUGGCAAUAACAUAUAUAUAUAUAUAUAUAUCUUGAUAUUUCUUGGUCCUAUUUGUCCAUUGAUUGUCUAGUUAGUGUUUGAGUGGAGCAUAGGUAGUAUGCAUCAUUCAAAGGAAAACUAAGUAGUUUGUUGUAUGAAGAUUUUAUGUUACAUUAGCCUUUUGUAUUUUGUUUAUCUUUGUCAAGUUUUUAUGUCCAUGUUGAUGUAUUACAAAACUUGAUGGAAUAUAUAAAUACUAAAAGAAUAGUAUUGAGAAACUAGGACUUACCUGGUUAACUUUUCCAUAAACAACUAUAAGCUUAUUAAACUUAUUUUCUAUCAAAAAGAAAAAUGUAAACUUAUUUCAAUUUUAAAAAUUAUCAUAACUUAAAAACUAAUUUAAAUUUAGUGAGCCAUGUACAAUCAAAUUAAGUUCAAGUUGCUGUAAUUUUAAGAUACUCAAUUUAAUAUUUAAUAAUAAAAAAAUAAAAAGAAGUUUUUUAUAAAUAAAAUAAUGGGUGAGUCCUAGUUUAAGUCACAAGUAUUUUUUACUUGUAAAUAAUAUAAACAGAUUUUUGCAUAAAGACAUUCUGUGUAGAUAUCAACAAUUAAAGACCACAGAGAAAAAUAAAAAAGAAAUCUAGAAUCCAAAACAAACCAAUAAAACCAAGCCAAGUCACUAGCUAAAAUCUUUAGUCCAUGGUCCAAAAUCACAAUCACAAAGCACCUUAUCUUUCUCUACCACCACAUCUUUUCAUACUAUAUCAUAUAAUUCCAUAACCAACCUUCUCUUCCAUUCCAUUCCAUUCACUCAUCAAACCAAAAACAAUGGCAGCAUCAGCAUCAUCCAUGAUCUCAACAAACGCCCUAACAUCCACACUCCAAAAACACCAAACACACAACCUCAAACCAUCAAACCUAUGUUUCCAAGGCUUCAAACCCUUAACAAGAUCAACAAAACUGACACAGAACAAAAAGAGAUUCUCAUCCCUUGUUGUCAAAGCUGAACUCAACCCUUCACUUGUGAUAAGCUUAAGCACUGGUCUGUCAUUGUUUUUAGGAAGGUUUGUGUUCUUCAACUUCCAAAGAGAGAAUGUUGCAAAACAAGGUUUACCUGAACAGAAUGGUGUGACACACUUUGAAGCUGGUGACUCACGUGCUAAGGAAUAUGUUAGCUUGCUUAAGUCAAAUGAUCCUGUCGGGUUUAACCUUGUUGAUGUUUUGGCUUGGGGUUCUAUAGGUCAUAUUGUUGCUUAUUAUAUCUUGGCCACUUCUAGCAAUGGUUAUGAUCCUAGUUUCUUUGGUUAAUUAAGAUUACUAUGUUGUUCGUUUAUGUUGUUUUAAUUUGUCUUUUCUUGUCCCUUUUAUGUUUAUUAAGAUGAUGAUGAUGAUGAUGAUGUAUAGUUUAUUUGUAUGAGAUAUUCAACAAGUUAAGUUC
rnacentral:lncRNA from 1 species